rnacentral:lncRNA from 1 species
AUAUUGUGUUCUCAUUAUUCUAUUUAUUGUACCAUUUGUUUUGCAGUGACAUACGAGCCAACAAUGAAAACCUCGAUCCACCCUGUCUCCACAUAUUAUCUAGUUUGUGCGCUGUGGAGCUUGAAGCACUUCUCAGAAUUUCAGCACACUCGCAUUUAUUUCUUUCCCGACAGAAGAACAAUGCAAGUCUCACAUCUCGAUGAGGGUGUCGAUUUACCGUCUCAUAUCUCGACGGUAAAACGUCGCAUCUGCGUACGUGUUCAGGGCCAAGAGCACGAGAACUGGCCGAAAGAAGGGAGCCGAUCCAACAAGAAUGCCGUCCGUCUUAUAUAUAUGUCAGCGUUAUCAUGCAGCGAUCACAUGAACUGUACGGUUGCUUUGCACAAGGGCUGAUGCAAACGCUCCGUGAGAA